GACGGAGGUGGCAAGCGUUGCUCGGAUUUACUGGGCGUAAAGCGCACGUAGGUGGUCCCGUAAGUCAGACGUGAAAUCCCUCGGCUCAACCGAGGAACUGCGUUUGAAACUGCAGGACUUGAGUGCAGGAGAGGAAGGCGGAAUUCCCGGUGUAGAGGUGAAAUUCGUAGAUAUCGGGAAGAACACCGGUGGCGAAGGCGGCCUUCUGGACUGCUACUGACACUGAGGUGCGAAAGCGUGGGGAGCAAACAGG
rnacentral:rRNA from 1 species